rnacentral:rRNA from 1 species
GACGAACGCUGGCGGCGUGCCUAAUACAUGCAAGUAGAACGCUGAAGGAGGAGCUUGCUUCUCUGGAUGAGUUGCGAACGGGUGAGUAACGCGUAGGUAACCUGCCUGGCAGCGGGGGAUAACUAUUGGAAACGAUAGCUAAUACCGCAUAAGAGUAGAUGUCGCAUGACAUUUGCUUAAAAGGUGCAAUUGCAUCACUACCAGAUGGACCUGCGUUGUAUUAGCUAGUUGGUGAGGUAACGGCUCACCAAGGCAACGAUACAUAGCCGACCUGAGAGGGUGAUCGGCCACACUGGGACUGAGACACGGCCCAGACUCCUACGGGAGGCAGCAGUAGGGAAUCUUCGGCAAUGGACGGAAGUCUGACCGAGCAACGCCGCGUGAGUGAAGAAGGUUUUCGGAUCGUAAAGCUCUGUUGUAAGAGAAGAACGAGUGUGAGAGUGGAAAGUUCACACUGUGACGGUAUCUUACCAGAAAGGGACGGCUAACUACGUG